UUGCUUGCUAGUGCAGCACCAUCAAGAUUCACAUAGAAAAUAUGGACUAUGAAAUGAAAUAUGCCCAAUUUUUGAAUACAUGAGAAUCUUGAUGAUGCUGCAUUGGCAAAUUG
rfam:Solanum tuberosum cultivar DM 1-3 516 R44 scf00072_33, whole genome shotgun sequence.